rnacentral:lncRNA from 1 species
UCUCUCUCUGUCAUAUAUUUAUAGUUUUCUAAAAAAAGAAAAAUGCAGUGCUUCUCCAAAAAAAAAAUACCAAAUUCAUUGCAUAUGCUUUCCCCCAUUUUUGAUACAUGAAAGAUCAGUCUGAAGGCAACUUCUGGACAUGAGAUAGAUAUUCUACAUUGGUGAAAGCUUCUACAUGGCACUCCUAUGCUAGUGAGGAUAAAGUAGUCGACAAUGUGACAUGAAAUCUGCACCAGUGUUUGAUGUGGCUUCUUUUCUUAGGAGGAGAAGGAAAAGAUAAUGUUCUACAUAUUUGUUUGGUGAAAUAUAAAUAGCAAAUAAGAGAGAAAUAUUUGAAAUGUGUGUGUUUUCCUUUUUAAUCAAAACUACAGAUUGUAUGUGUUUGUGUUUCUUGGAAAGAACUGAGUUCCACUUUGGCAAUACAAGCUAUAUCUGAAUCCUGACAAAUUUGAGUGUUCUAACACCUUUUGCCUUUUCCAAUGCUCUUCUUUCUCGGAAAGAAUUGAGUUUGAUUUUGGCAACAUAAGCUAUACCAAAUAUUGGUUCCCUCUAAUCCAAAUUCAUUUCAUUUUAUACAUAGAAAACAUUGUCACCUUUUGUCAUUAGAUGAUUUUUGUAGGUUGUUUGGCUUAUUUCAACAAGCACAGAGGAAAGAAGAAAAACAUAAAUUUAUGCAGUUAUGAAUAAUUUCCCAUUUCAAAAGUAAAAAUAUAUAUAUAAAUUUUCGUUUGAGCAUCAAAAUGAUUUAUUUAUAAAUUUUUAAGUGUGAUUUUGCUAGAAAAUAUACUAAUUUUGAAUAUUUCCCGAUUGGUACUGCCAUAUCUGUUUUUUAAAAUAGUGUUUUUAUUUUUUUAAAUAUCAAAGUUAUCCUUUAAUGUUUUUUUUCAUCUAUUACCAUAUUUUUAGUUUAUUAUAGUGUUUUGACCAUCAUUAAAAAAAAACAUUGUAAAACUUACUUGAAAGCACCAUAAAUUAUUUAAGUAAACUAUCAACAUCAAUCAAACUAAUUAUAAGCUUAAAAAUAUAAUAUUAUAACGGUUUGUAAACAAUGAUAAUCAAAGAAAUAUGAUAUAAUAUCGCAUACAAUGUUUUCAGUAUAUUAAUAAAAUACUAUAAAUGUUAUUAAAAAUAUUAUAUACGAACUAAAUAAAAACAUUAUAAUUGAUAAAAAAACAAAAAAGGACACAAUUUUGAUGAAAUUUAUAAAAUAUUUUAAAAUUUAAAAAUAUUAUUAAAAUUUUUGAUAACAUAUAAAAUAUAAAAUAUUUUCUAAGAAAUUGAGUGAUUUCUGAUGUUACCUUAUGUGUGAGCGUAAAAGAAGAUUAAAUCAUUGACACGUGUCUGUGUUACAAAGCGAUGUUUUUUAUUAAGAUAAUGUCUCAUAAUGAUGUAACUUUAGUCCGUAAGAUUUACUUAUGAAGAUCGAAUUAUUGUCGUGUCUGAGUGCUACGAAACGACGCUUUUCGAGAGAGAUCACAUCUCAUGAAGUAAACUUAUGAGAUCGCUCAUAUUAUAAUAAUAAAGAUAAUAAUGUACAAAUAUAGUAAUUUUAUAUUUUUAAUCAUGAUAAAAAUGAAGAGACACAAGUCCACCCACAUAUGUAUAUGUAUUGAUUAGGGAGCUUUACCACCACCAUGCAACACAAGGAUGCAUGGUGGAGAGUGCAUGAGGAGCUAGAGAGCUUCCUACACCCCCUACCGUUGCCAUCGUCAUUCAUUUCUCAAUCCUGUCCUAUAUUUUCGUAAUCUGAUUAUAAUAUCAAUUCUCAAUCUCUUUUAACCUAUUACAAUAUUUAUAGUGGUCAUCUAAAGGACAAAUAAAGAGGAUAGUUUGAGUGUUCUAACACUCUUUGCCUUUUCCAAUGCUCUUUCUUUCUCGGAAAGAAUUGAGUUUGAUUUUGGCAACAUAAGCUAUGCCAAAUAUUGGUUCAAAAACCUCUAAACCAAAUUAAUUUCAUUUCCUACAUAGAAAACAUUGUCACCUUUUGUCAUUAGAUGAUUUUUGUAGGUUGUUUGGCUUAUUUCAACAAGCGCAGAGGAAAGAAGAAAACAUAAAUUUAUACAGCUACGAAUAAUUUUCCAUUUCAAAAUUAUAUAUAUAUAUAUAUAUAUAUAUAUACACAUUUUCUCUUGCACAUAAAAAUUAAUUAUUUAUAAUUUUUUAAGGGUAAUUUUAUUAGAAAACAUCCUCAUCUUAAUUUUUUUUUCAAAUAGUAUUUUUUAAAUUAUAAAAUAUCGAAAUUACUACUUAAUAAUAAUUUUUAUCUAUUAUAUUGUGUUGGUCUAUUACCAUAUUUUUAGCUUGUUAUAGUCUUUUAACCAUCACAAAAAAAAACUGCAAAAAAACACUAUAAAUGAUCUAAACAUACUACUACCAUCAAUCAAACUAAUUAUAAACUUAAAAUAUGAUAUUAUAAUGAUAUAUAGGUAAUGAUAAUCAAACAAAAAAUAUGAUAUGACAUCAUUUACAAUGUUUUCAAUAUAUUAAUAAAAUAAUACAAACAUUAUUAAAAAAAUAUUAUAUAUGAACCAAAUGAAAACACUAUAAUAGAUAAAAACUAAAAAUAAAAUAGAUAAUUUUUUGAAAAAAACAUUUUAAAAAAAUUUAAUUUAAAACAUUAUUUUUUUAAAAAAAAUUAAUAAACAUAUAAAAUAUAAAAAAAAAUUUAUAGAAAAAUUGUUUAAUUUAUGACGUUACACGUAAAAGACAAUCAAAUCAUUGACACAAGUCGAUGUUACUAAGUGAUGCUUUUCAGGAUGAUAGUGUCUCGUAAGAUUUAUUCGUGAAGAUCGAAUUAUUGUUAUGUAUGAAUGUUGAGAAACUAUAAUUUUUUUUAGGGAGAUCACAUGCCACUAUGUAAACAUGCGAGAUAAUAAAGUGAUGUAGCUACACAUAAAUAUAAUAAUUUUAUUUUUAUUCACGAGAAAGAAGAAAAGACACAAGUUCACACACAAAUGAUGUAUAUGUAUUGACUAGCGAGCUUUACCACCAACAUCCAACACAAGGAUGGCACGGUGGAGAGUGCAUGAAGAGCAAGAGAAGGCCCCAUAGAUCUUUGGGGAAGAAAGGAAGUGCGCAGACAAACUAGUGGACAUAGGACAAAGGAGAUUAUUAGAUCUUCGCCAUGCAAGCUCAUCUGAGAUCUCAAGGGAACAACGAGUCCGGCCAUGAGCUGAUGGGAUCCACGUACAUCUGCCCCUCCUCCGACCACGGGCUCAUUAUGUCCAUGAGCCAGUUCAGCCUCUGGCUUCCCUCCGCUGCAUGGCCCUGGUUCACCGUGUUGAUCCUCUCCAUCGGCAGCGGCAUCAUCCCCGUGACAGUGGCCGCGGGAACCACUGGCAUGGGUGGUGGCGGAGGGGCCAUGGCCAGCCGCUUGAGGAGCUCCUCUCUCCUGUCGCUGACCUCCUUCAGCUUGGUCUCCACCGACCAGGCGAGGGCGGAGGCAUCCUCCACGUCCAGGUCGUCGAAGCUGCGGCCAUGGAACCCCUCCCACGUCAGCCAUGUCAUCUCGAUCUCCCGGUUCUCGCGCUGCUGCCUGCGGAGCUGCUCCAGAAGCUUGGCGAUCCGCUGGUGGAGGAAGGCCUCCUGGUUAACCAUCUUCCGGCUGCGCUCGAUCUCCGGCAUGCUCUUGAAUCGCGCCAUCAUCUGCACAGCCUCCUGGAGGGACGGCCACGCCACCGGCUGGUUUUCGUGCGGCGUGUACACCACCACGCACGCCUCCACGCCGCACAGGAUGCUCAGCUCCCGCACCUUCUUUAUCAGCCCCUUGCGCCGCUUCUUCAGGGUGGCGCGGCGGGUGGCGUCGUUGACGAUCCAUGCCAGCUUCACCUUGUUCCGGGCCAUAGCAGGCAAGGACCGAGCUUCGUACACCCCCUUCCGUUGCCAUCGUCAUUCAUUUAUAGGGCAGCCGAACUCGAAGGGGUGUGAACGGGCUACCAACGGGAUUCGAACGGGAUCGGAUAUCCACCUCGGUCCACAAUCACCAUUACAUAAUACGAUUGGAGAAACGUCAUUGGUGCGUUGCCAUCAGCCACGUCAAUCGUUGUCAAGAGGUGAGUAAACGAACCGCGACUCCCUGUUCCGAUGCCGGCACCCGAUCCGCACCUCUCACCCGCGAGGUCCGCUCGGCUGCGCCCCCAACAACAGCAAACAGCUGCAUCAGCGAGCACACGCCGGACAAGCGUCCAAUCGAAAACGAUAUGGGAAUCACCCAUAUCCACUGCACUUGUGACCGUCAAUGGGGAAUCCACGGGAAGGUACAGCUCAACACCCGUGCAUGCAUGUGGCGUGCCCUAACCCGCACAUCCUCUCUCUCUCGCUCUCUCUCUGUAUCUUUGCGUGUGUGCAUGUACUGCAGCGGUGCCAUAGCCGAUCAAGAUUGGAAGGGGGAAGUAUUCUGAUCAAGUUUGGAAAGGGGAAAUAUUUUGAUGUUGCGGUUGGUUGAUCUGAUUUUGAUCUCCCAACUGUUACGAAAUAUAACUGUUACGAUAUCAUCUGUCACGAACUCUCGGAGAUGAAUAAGUAAUUACAUCAACUUCAGAAAAUAAGCUACUUUCCUUUACCAAUGCCAGGUUCGUCCGAGUCACUGCGCCACAGAAGUAGGCCCCAUCAAGGUAGGGGAAUGGGUCCAAUACGGUUUUUGAUUUAAUAGGCUUCAUGGAGAGAGCCCAUUAUUAGGCCCAUGGACGGGAUCUUUCGGUGGGUCCCAUCAAAGCAGGGAAAUGAUAGCGAGGCUCAGUGUUAGGCCCAAUAAGGCCCAUGAACGGGUCGUUUUCAUCGUUCCUCCCAAACCCUUCGAUGGUCCUAAAACCCUCUUCUCGCUUCUCCUCUUGCUUCUGUCAUCAUCAUCGUCGACAUCAUCUGAUGCUUGUCGUAGGUAUGUCUGAAGAUCUUGAUCCUACUCUCAUCUUGAUCUUACUCUCAUCAAAGCAGGGAAAUGAUAGCGAGGCUCAGUAUUGGGCGCAAUAAGGCCCAUGAAUGGGUCCUUUUCAUCCUUCCUCCCAAACCCUUCCAUGGUCCUAAAACCCAAACCGGCGUCUUCUCGCUUCUCCUCUUGCUUCUGUCAUCAUCAUCGUCAACAUCAUCUGAUGCUUGUCGUAGGUAUGUCUGAAGAACUUGAUCUCACUCUCAUCUUGGUUUCAGACAUGUAGUAUCCGGAACUGGGUCUCUGUGUUCUGCUUGGUGGGCUGCACUGAUCGUUUGAUACGCAGUUAGCUUUCGUGUGAUUGAAAUGAUGAGAUUAUAGAUUUUUUUAAACUACCAUUUUUUCGUUCUUUUUUUUUCUUUUUUCUUAUAUGUUUAUAAUCGUUUAAGCAGCGUUCUUUGUAUACUCAUCAUCGAGCUGUCCAUAAGGGGGGAAAAGUAGACUUUUUUUUUUUUUUUGCAGAAACCUUGAUUAGUUUUCCUUCACUGGUUGCUUUUACAAAGCCAAGAUGGCACUUUUUCUUUUUCUUAUAUCUCAUUGCAAUCAUCUACAUGAUCAUUUUGGUGCCCGGUUAUCUUUCCAGAGAUAUUAACCGAAAAAAGGUUCUAAUCUGGUUAGGGUAGUUCAAUGGACUAGCCUGCCAUGAGCAAUGCUUUCAUAGUUUUAUAUAGUCUAUUUCCUUUAACCUUCUUAAAAUUUCAGAAGAGCAGACUUGCCGAGGAGCAGAGUGUCAGGCCCAACAAGUUAGAGAAAGUAGAAGUUUUAUGUGAAUGACUCUAAUCAAGGGCAGGGCAAAAGAGCUUUGUGGUAAAAAUUUGUGGCUAAGGCAAAAAAUGUCAAUUUUGAUCGAUUGGAAUCUAAUGCUUCACAUGGUAAAUCUAGGAUAUUCUACUUGAAUUCUUGAACACAAAGUUUUUGCUGUCUUUCAUUUUAGGUGACGGAGAAUUUUCAUCCUCAUCUGAUAGGUCCUUAACGAAUGCCCAGCAAAAAAUUAAUAAGAAUUCACUCUAGUCCUAUGCAUAUAAUUCCUAUGCAUAUAAUUUUUGACGAUGAUAUUGUGGGUGAAAAUUGAUUGGCUGAAUUUGCAGCGCAAGUUUCAUGUAGACUAAGUCAACUAUUGAGCUUGUAUACAUUUAGCAUCCCCCAAUGUGAAUCUCUAACUACAUGUAUAUACUUGAGGUUGUCCUGAGCAAAACUAUCUCCUAUUCCUGUCACUUUGGAUCUGGACUUAUUGAUUGCUCAUUCAAAUCAUAAUUUAGUGCUCAUCUUUGUAUGAAAAAAAUUACGAGUUCAGAGGACUCUCCUUUGACAUAUGUGGAACAAAGAUAGAGAUACAGAUACUGGCAUGACAUGAUAGAAAUAUGCUGAUGUGUUAAGUCCUUAAUUUAGGCUGUCAUACGUCAGAAAUUUGGCAAGAGAUCUUUUUACAUAUAUGGUACCAUAUAUGUCAAAUUUUGAAAUUUAUUUAUGAUGUUAACAUAGACAGUUAUACAUCACAAUGAAUAACUAGCAUCCUAAUCCAAUCACAAAAAAAAAAAGAGAAAAUUAUUCUAGGUCAUGGUUAAAAAUAUUGGAAUUCAUAUCCAUACUGAUCCCAGCUUGGAUCGGCACAUACUGUUACCACUUGGUACAACACAAUUAUAAAAUCGAAUCUAUGUUAUGUUGAUACACUAUUGUUAAGAAGUAAUAUAUGAAGCUAAUUUUUUUUAAAAUUUUCAUUAAUUAAUAUCUAAUGCGUAAGAGCAACAGAUAGACAAUCUAUAUAAUCAUAUAUUAAUUUCUAUAUAUAUACAUUUGUGUAUACAUAUUAAAUCAUCAAUCAAACAGAAGUUCUCCCAAGAAGUGUCCAUAAAAAGAAUCCUGCAACUAUUUAAUUGCUGUAUACAUUCUUGAUGUUAAUAUUGAACUGUCCAUGUUCAUGGUUGGUCAUCCAUACCACUUGCUGAUGUGAUGAUACUUGAACCUGAAAAGUAAAAGGUUGUUUGUAAUCAGGUGUUAUUCUACGUCCACGUAAAGUGAUGCAUGGUGAUGUAUAUAGGAUGCAUAAUUUCCUCUUGUCCUACUGUUAUACCAUGUGAUGGUUACAGCAAUAACAAGUGUAUACGCUGCAUAUGGACCACAAAAAGUGAUUUCUUUCAGAACAAUGUAUCUGUUCAUUUUUUCCUCAUAGGAAGGUUGUUGGAAGAUAAGCUCUUCCAGUGAUCACCAUAUGUGACUGGUAAAGGAUGCUAUGACAGUGAUGCAGUGACACAUUUUUACGCUUUCUCAAUUGACCAUCUCUAUGAUAUUGUGUCCUCGCCAUGUAAUUAGAGUUCUUUGUAGACCUUAGAUUUAUGCGACUUUUACUAAUCCUCUCUACAGUCAUAAUUAUUUCUUAAUGUUAAAAUGGAGCAAUAAAUUUUUUCAGAAUAUGAUAUUUCAAGGAGUUCUUUCCUUUGAGAGUUGAGGGUAUGUGAAAUUUUAUUGGAAUCUAGUCCAGUCUUCCUCUUUUGUUCUUGUAGUGAAACAGGAUUGAUCAAUCAAAAUUUGUUUUUCUUUGAGAUAUGUUGAGUUUUAAAUAUGUGAUCCAUAUUUAGCCUAAUCCAUUUAUCUUCUUUAUUUUAAAAUCUUGAUGACUUUGAACCUGAAAAAUCGUGAUCCUUCUAAGAAACACUAAACUCGAUAAGUUCUACACUGAAUCAACUCGUUAUCUUUAUUUUUAAUGUCCUUGACAUGUCUGAAUUGACAUGGGCAACAACCAAGCAACAAUUGUUGAUCGAUUGAUGUGAGUUUGAUAAUAUGUUGAAGUUCUGUUUGAUCCGCAAAUUGGUCUCUCUUGGACUAUAUUUGUGCUGUCAAGCAUCCUUCUGUGAUGAUGUUAGAUGCUAACUUAAAAUGUUGACAUCAGAAAAUUGUUCUCAUCUGACAACACAAUUUUCAAGGUGAUGUGUUCAGGUAUUUCAUAAAUGAAUGUGAGAGGUUUUUGGAGAACUAUUCUACUAACAAUUCUCUCUAGAACAUUGGAUAUCUUCAAGAACUUCGUUUUAUAAGCAAACAAAUCACUGAACUCAUCACAUGUUCAUAUUUAGGAACAGAUCAGUAAAUCAAUGAUCUCUUCUAUUCUGCUAAACAAUAUUUGGCAGAAAUCAAUCACACCUAGGAAUAGAUCUUGCCUGUCUCCUCUAUCAUUUAUUGAUCAUUGUUAUCUCCUCUUGGGAUCAUUGAGUUGCAGUGAACUUGGCUACACUAUCUUUGGGAAGGUAACAAUUUGAUAUCAGAAUUACAUCUGCAACGAUAACAUGGUUUUGUGGCCUCAGAUCUUCUAUUGGCUGUUGGUGAGCACACCUCUUAAAUUACAUAAACAAUUCACGAUGUUUUAUUGUCUUAAUGGAAUUCAUGCAUAUGUUGGUGAAGCCAUUAAUUCAUCGAUCAUUUUCAAAAUGUUUCAUUUAAUGACAGGUACUGUUUGUUGCCUCGCUGCAUUAUAUCAUUCUUCAGCUUUUUGAAGACGUCAAUUCAGAGAACAGUUCAAGAUUGGUUGGUCCUACUAAUGAGGUAUCAGAUUCAAAGAAUUCCCCUUUUAUUUAAAACAGUGGGGACAACGUUUUGUCAAUCUAGUUAUGUCUUGGACUUGUUACUUGUUUUUUCUCUCGUCCUCAACCAGCUCCUUUUUCUCCCUGGAUUUCAACUACUUGGACGUGUGCCAUAAAUGUUUGUCCAUUGUCAAUAUUAACUUUUGGGUUGUCUUCUUUCUCCAAAAACUUUUGUCUUGGUAGUGACAAGUGGUAGUGCUGACAAUGCUUAGGGCCUACAGGCUCCAUAAUGGUGGAAGAUUCAGCAAUAGCCAGUGAUGAUUUAGGGGUCGGCAAAAAUUUAUGAUCGGCACAACUUUUUGCCGACCCCUAAAUCAGAUCAAUUCCUAUUCCUAUAUGCAAAAAGUAAACUAGAGAUCCCUUAUUCCUUUAGAAGUUCCUGGUUAUAAAGUUUGGCAACACUGUAAUUUUAGCAUGGUUUAUUGUCAUGCAUAAAUUUUUUUCGUUGAUGCUAUGAUACAUAGGUUAAAAUCAUAAACUGUAGUACUUAUAUGUUGAUGAACAACUGUAGUUUCACUAGAUUGGUAACAUCACUCUUAUAGAAGAGUGUUAUAGCAAAUUCAGUUAAGACUAAAAAAAUGGAAGAUUAUGGACCAUCUCGUAAUUGCCUUAAUAGGGCUUCAUUGACUUCUUUCAGAUGAUAAAUUCUUGUUUUCACUUCACCUUUAUUCACCAGCAUCUUUUAACUGCUGAUAUGUUUAAUUUGAACUGUUUGUUUCCUCAUCUUUAUUUCCACUUGACCUAAUAUUUUGUACGAUUCCAUUAGAUGACAUUUGGGUGGAAACAAGUGAGACACGUCGUGGAAGAAUUAACUUCUAACUACGGUGGCCAAUCUUCCUUCUUCAAAUUGUAGCACUUAAAUGAUGCAUUGUUUGAUGACAGGCUCCACUUUCAUAACAAAGAGUGAGAACAUGAUUACUUGGGUGUUGUGGGGACGAAGUGGCAUUCUCAAUCCAACAAGGAUCCUAUAAUUAGUGGAUUCAUCACUUUGAACUUUUUCUUUCUUCCUUAUUCUUGCUAAGGUCAAAUGCCAUCAUGUCUUGGGCCUCCCACACCUUCCUUUUCUGAACGAAAAGCUAUAGCACUUUGCUCUCUGUGCCACUUAAGGACCCAACUAAAGUGUAGCCUGUGGAUUAGUAUGAAUCGAAGAGUGGAAAUCCUUUUGAGCUAGAUGUCUAUAAAUGACCCACUGUGGUUCCUUCUUCAUAGGAAGAAGGGGGAGUACGACAACUGAGUAACGGCCUAAUUAAAAUUGUUGCAUGCCAUGUUCCUGUCCAUGCCUUGAGUAGGAGGGGAGGCAUAACCCUAGAAACUGGAAGAUAAGGUGCAGAGACAUAACCCUAAGAAUUGGAGAAUUAGGUAUCAUCUAUCUCUCUCUGCCAGUGCAGAUGGAUUGGACCCCAACAGCCCUUAAGUUAAUAUUGGCACCCGAUGAUCAAAUUGUGCUAAUAAUGUAAAAAGAAAGAGAGGAGAGGAAUACUACAAAACUUUUACAUGUUUUGGCUCACAUGCUUAUGUUGACAAGCAAAUUCAGAUUGAAGUUUGCUGCAUCAAAUUUAAAUAUGGGGGCAUGCUGGAGUACAAAGAGAACCCCUAACUUGAAAAAGGGCAUGGAAUCUCAAAUCAUGAAGACACCGGCAUGGCAGGUAUCUUAUUAUAUUAUGUUUUGGUGUGCAUUCUUUGUUUAAAAUUAUAAGAUUGUAUGUAUACAAUAUCCUUCAUCAAACUUUGUGUUGGCAGGAACCUCACGCAUCGUACCAUUUAUCUCUUAUGCGGUCGAGUUGAAUUGAAGAGACACCUAAACCAGUCCAAGACCUGUGAGCACUCUUCCUCGACUCAUUUUGCAGUCUCUGAGAAACGUCCACCGGCGAUGGGAGUCCCUUUUGGUGGUAUUCCCCACAACACAUACUUCUUGUAACGAGCAUGUGGACCACCCCUUGACCUGGUUCAUUGAUUCAGGGAUGCUCUUCUUCUUCUUCUUCCUCCUCCUCCUCCUCCUCCUCAAGGACGAGAUAAGGUUUGGGGCUCACGGCAAUCUGUGAUGGUCACAACAGGACUACAAUAGCUUUGCCUCAUUGCUCCACACCAGUAGACGCCAAGAUGCUACCUCACUAUCAUCCAGCUGUAGCCAAGCAGACGUCUCAUGACCAUCCAUAUCCAAUGAUCCUUUUGCACAGUAAAUUCAAUCACCAGCAGUGCUACGGAAUCUUCUUCUUCUUCUUCUUCCUCUUCUUAAUCAUAACUAAAUGUGUCUCCCUGAUGUUUUCUAAAAGAAAACACAUCUAAUAAUUGAUGGUUGCAAAAGAUAAGACUAGAUGCUUCUUGUACAGUUGACAAUUAGGACAUCAUGUGGCUUGCAGUGGUGAGGUGAGGCCCUGUGGAUUACAAUAUUUUGUGAAACACAAGUGUAUUAUGUUUAGCAUUUCUUUCGGAAAUGUCUGUCCUUUUCCUCAUCCCAUCUGUGCUUGGAAACAUCAGUAAAGACAAGGGCGGCUUCAUAAUGCUUGAGAGGGGGUCUCAGUUUUCUAUUUGGUGCCAUCAAGUGGAGGUGGAGGCAUAGAGAUGGAGAUGCCAUUCCAGUGCUUGCUUGUCCCCAUCCCAUGCACACAAUGCAUGGAAGAUUUUGCUUAUACAUGCCGGCUUUUGUUUACUUUGGCGUUGGUCAAAACCUCAUGGAUUUGCUAUAACAUGCGGUGCGAGUUGUGCCACGACGAGAGUCUGUGUCACGAUGUCAUGCAUAUCUUUGGAGUGUGAAAGCAAGACUCGAGAGCCAUCCUUUAUUAAAUAAAUAAUUAAAUAUCAAAUUUGGUAUUUAGUGUAUCCAUAAGAAGGAGAGGAUCCAAAGAAAAUAUAUCAUAAAUGUCAGUCUUUAUGGACGGACAAGUGUUAUUUGGCUAGAUUGUUAUGACACUUCAUAUUUUAUUAAGUUUGUAAUAUUAAGUGUUUUUUUAUGUAAAAUUUGUGAUGGUGAAUAGUUUAGUCAUAGUUUGUAUUAUCGGUCCGUACUCGAUCAUCAACUGAUGGUAUGAUAUGUACAUAACUAUAUCGUGCGUAUAUCACAUGAUACACUGAGCUGUACUAAUCUGUGUUGAUUCUUUGUCGAACCGAUACAUAUCAUUUAUACAAUCGAAUAAUAUGCUUCGAUACAUCAAAUCUUUAGUUUAGCAUCUAUAAUUUAAAUUUUUAUAGGUUGAGCAUUGUUACCACAAUCGAAUCCCUCGUUUAGAACUCAAGUGUUGUUAAUUUAAUUUUGGUCGUCAAUUUGAUGGGGUGGAGUUCUUAGAGUUAGAUAGUUUUCUUGGAUUUGAUUACGUUUGAAUUAAUCAUAUCUAAAGGGUCAUGCCCUCAUUGCGUUUACUCUGUAACUAUAGUUCCUAAUGCUCAUUUAUAUUUGCAAUAUCAAUUAUCUCAUAGUUUAUCCAUGUAAAAGUAUAUUGUCUAUUUUGUUUUGUGAUCUUGAUAGUUAUAAUUUACAUUAAAAAAACUAGUUACAAGGUGCUUUGAAUGUUUGGUUUUGGAGGACGAAUUAGACACAAGCACAUGUCUUGCCUCGUUAGGAUGAGUCAGAUGUUAUGCAAAAGAUAUUUUUGUUCUAGGCAGAUAAAUCUCACAAAAGAUAUUGUUAGACAUUUUGGAUGUUUUUGUCUUAGAGAAUGCAUUAUGUGCAAGAGACACUUCACCCGAUUAAGAUACAUUGGGUACUUCAAAUGCCUCUCUUGGCCAGAAGUAUCACAUGUAUAAGACACUUCACUUAGUUAAGCUCCAUUGAAUGCUUUGAAUGUUUUCAUCCUAAGCGAACACAUUACCUAGGCUAAAAAUACUCGAAGCGUUCGAUAUAACUUAACGAGUUGAGUUAUCUCAUAAGCGAUGCAUCAAUACAAGACAAAGGUAUCUAAACUAUCGGAAGGGCCUUAACAUAAUAAUGUAUCUCAUCUUAAGACAAAAAAAUCCAAAACAUCCAACGUAAACAUCUUCUUAUCUCUAAUGCAUAGGAGGCAUCCCUUAACUAUAUUUUGAUGUGAGAAACAGUUAUCAAGAUUCAAAAAUGGAAAACAUUAGACUCAUAUAAAUACACUUCUUCCCCAACCAACCAACUUUAUAACAUAAAUUAAUCAUGAUUUGAAUCAUAUAAAUACAUAAGAAAAAGCCUUCCUUCAUAUCAAGACCAAUAAGAUCAUUUGGAAUGAUUAUUUUUGUUGGUGUAAACAACUUCUUAGCCGUGGCCUCGGGGCCGACGCGGCUCGAUUCGGGUCCGGAUGAUGGGUCGUCGUUUCCUUCAGGAAAGGGCUCCUUGCCGACGCGCCCGGAGAGGAGUGCUUCGCCUUCGUCCCUGCACGCAGGUCGGGUCGGGAUGCUCGACCCGACCCCUCUGAUGGUUAAGUUAGACGUUGCUCGUCCCAGUCCCCCCCCCCCCCGUUUAGAAUGCAAGGAUCUUUAUAAGGGAGUUCGGUGUUACCUAAUGUGCCUGCUCGCAGGAGGUAGGAUCGUACCUUCUGAUGACGUCUGACAUCGCUGUUGGCGUGAUGUGCGGGAUUGAGUCUGAGCGGUCGUUAAUGGGCCUCAGUUGGCGUUACGACCCAUGUCAGCUACGCGCUGUCCGACAUGGGUGCCGGGCGUCAGCGGGCGUCACGCAAGUCUUAUCAUAAUUAUAACCCUCAUCAAUUUUCAUAUCUCACAUUCGCUAAAGCGCUGUGCAUUACAUCUGUGUCAUUUUUUUACGACACAAACCAACCCACCACCCCCAAUUCUUGCCGAGUAACAUUCGGAUCAAGCGAAGCGAAUAUAAUUAAGAUGCUGAGUCUGAUCCCAUAGUCGGACGUGUCGAUAUGCUCGAGAUGAUUCGGAAAAUAAAAUCAUAUCAUAUAUUUGUUAAAAGAUUUAUCAUAUCGAAGUUUAUUAAGAUAAUAUUUGAUUUUUUUAAUGAAUAAAUAAACGAUGAAAAUGAGAGUCGACAAAUCAUCAAAGUCUUUACCAAUUAAAAUUGACCGACAAAUAUUUGAUGUUGCUGGACAUGAGAUGCAUGCAUGUUCGUUAUAUGAUUGGUAUGAGAUGUUUUCGGAUCUCAUCCCCUACCAAGCAACAUUGCGAUCGCACCGUAAUAUCGAACGUCUUCGAUGCCUGUUUUGUCAUGAGCUGAACAAUGGAGCCGAAGGCACGCAUGCAUGGAUGGAGGGAGCGUUAGUGAGGGCGGCUGUGCCGUCGAUGGUGGGUUGCUUGUUGUCCGCCACCAGGCUAUGUGGUUGAGGUCGACAUGCAUCCGCCCGCUGAAACAGUGGCCGAUGCUUCUUUUAACACCGCGAGAGUGCCUCCGUCACUUCAGCACGCAGUACCAAUGCUGGUGCGGUGUUCACGGUUGGACCAUUUGCAGUGGCUCCGCCGUCCCUCGGUGGGGUUUCGCCCCUCUCGACUCUGUCUCCGAUGCGUCUCUUUUUUAGACGAACCACGCACGGUUCUCCGCUCCGGCCCCCCUCCCCCCCCCCUUCCGAAUCGUCCGCGUCGCGUGACUGGAAUCCCUCAUCCGUCGUACCUCUGAUGGCGUGGAUCUACAGGAACAGGUAGCAUCAGCUGUGAGGACCAUCGGCUGGAGCUCUCUCUCUCUCUCUCAUGUCAGUAAUCUUGGUGUCGUUCAGAAACAAGUACGACGAGGAGGAUGUGGCUGCCUCGGACGGGGAAUUACAUCACAUCUUCCGGUUCUUCUUGCAUUGGGCAAUCCACGACACCCGACAGCUAUUUAGAAGCUUGCGGAGCAAUGGAUGAUGUCGAUCGAAGUCUGAUAGGUUGCACACUUCAGUCCUGAGAGCAAUAGCAGCAUUUAAUGUGCUUGGGCGGGCGUGGUCAUGGACGGAUGACCACUGGAAAGGCCCCUCGCAUAAGCUGGACACAGCAAGGACAGGCAGCGUCGAACGAUGAAGAUGAGGUUGCUCCUCUAAUGGAGGGCCCCAAUGCAGCACGAGCCACACUAAAAAGGGAUGGCUACGAUCCGUUCAAUCAAUCAAUCAAUAAAAAAAAAAAGUGAAUCGAAUAAAAAAAUUAAUUCGAUCAAUUUAAAUUUAUAAAUCGAUUAAUCGAACUGAACCAAUUGAUUUUAAUUUUAAUUUAUUUUACUUUAAUCGGAUCGAUUUCGUGGCAUCCGAACUGCUCGGAACACGCAGCCAUGUUGGAGUGAGCUUUCGCUGGUUCUCUCUGUAAUUGCAGGGAUGAUGAUGGAACUCUCUCGGGAUGCACACGAAAAGUUACCCCUGUCCAGAGAGAGAGAGAGAGAGA